GCUUCCAGAGGUUGGUGAGACAGAAGCUACUGCAGGGCUGCUGAUGGUUAGAUUUCCCAGAGCCAAGCCCUUAGAUCCAACAACAACACUGAGAGAAUGAAGGCCAGCUGCUAGUGGAGUCAUGAGAACGGUGCAGGGGAAUGUGCCUGGUUUCAGCUGGAAAAACGUUAAUGACUCCUUGGAGAGAUAUGGAGUGAGUCUCAUCAACAUACCCGCUGCUGUAGUAAUGGAUUCCAGGGGAAGUAAACUGUUUAUCUGAUAAUUUCCUGGUGACCCUAAGAGAUGACUAGACAUCAACUCUUUUAUGAGAUGCCAUCUGAACUCCCAUGCCCACUGACUUUUAUCUUUACUUUGUAUCUACUUCUAUUAUUUCAGAACUUUAUUCUAGGUUGAAGAGCUCCGCUGAGACUCUGGUUACAAAUGGAGCAGCUGACUCCAAGAACUAUAUCCAAGAUAAACUACUAUUAUUCUGGUGGGGAGAGGGAAAUCUUAGUCAGGAGAAAGAAGAGAGCAUCUGGUAGACCCAAGAGAGACAGACACAGCUGAGGUGGGAGAAAAUCCAGAGCCUGCUAUGGUUAGAAUCGUGCUUUCUGCAUAGGAUCCUGAAAGUAGUAAACGCUCUGCAGGGCAAACUGCAAGUCUGCAGCUGGCACAGCAGCAGGGAUGCCUGUAUCACAGAAAGAAACAAAAAUUCACAAACUG